UUAAGUUUCCAAAUCCUAAUGGUAGUAGGAUUAACGAUUAUACUAUAAAUAACUGUGUCCUCUAGAUAUAUUAGUAGAUAUUAUAUUGACAAAUAGACAAUUAAAUUUUUUAGAAUUAAUAGAAUAGAAAAUUGAGAAUUGUUUUUCAUUCCCUUUUGAGUUUUUUAUUCUGUUCCUCAGUUUGCUGUGUGUCUCAUUACUGUUCUUUCUUGCUCCUG
rnacentral:misc_RNA from 1 species